CAUUCGGGCCGCGCGCGGCGCAGCCCCCAGGUGCAGAGCGCGAAGAGCCCGGGGAAGAAGAGUGCGCCCCAGGUCAGCGUCAGCAGCAUGGGUGCGCGGGGGUCGGCGCCUCGCUCGGCGCCCUCGGCGUGGCACAGGCCAGAGAUGGCUUUUCUAUGCCCUGCCAACUGCUGCAAUUUCUCCAGAGGGGGGUCGCUCUGAAAAACAUUAAAUCCUGCCGCAGAAUCCUCUCUCCAUCUACACAUCGAGGUGGAAUAUCAAGUCUGAAGACUUUCUGUGCUACUGCGUCUCGGCUUUGGGUCAAGAUACUAUCCAGAGUCUUGGUGACUAUUUUGUUGUUGUCGACAACGUGUUCUUAUUUAAAACUUAUUGGGCCAUGUGCCCUAAAAUUGA